UACGAAGGGUGCAAGCGUUAAUCGGAAUUACUGGGCGUAAAGGGUGCGUAGGCGGUUGUUUAAGUCUGUCGUGAAAUCCCCGGGCUCAACCUGGGAAUGGCGAUGGAUACUGGACAGCUAGAGUGUGUCAGAGGAUGGUGGAAUUCCCGGUGUAGCGGUGAAAUGCGUAGAGAUCGGGAGGAACAUCAGUGGCGAAGGCGGCCAUCUGGGACAACACUGACACUGAGAGACGAAAGCUAGGGGAGCAAAUGGG
rnacentral:rRNA from 1 species